rnacentral:lncRNA from 10 species
CUGACACCGGCGCUGGCUGUCAGGCACAUGGCUAAGCACAUGGCCUGGGUGACACCAUGUACCAAACACACAGCAGUCGGUGGAGUGAAGGCCCCUGGCUAGGGCCCACAGCAGGAGUGGCCGGGCUGAACUGGACCCAGGCAGCUUGAGUCUAGGGCCAGGGCCACGACAUCCUCUCCAGGACCUCCAAGGCAGACCCCGGAAUCCCACGGCUGCCACCCAGCAAAGGGGGCGUCCCUCCAGGGCCUCUUCUGUUGGGUGGCACAUCUGAAUGCCAGACUCAGCCAUCUCAGCAGACCACAUGGAUCCGGUUCCUCCCGGAGACCUAAUCCCCUUUCUACAUAAACUCUCCACCAGGGCGUUCUCUCUCCAGGCUCACCCUCACCUGCUCCUUCACUCAAUCCUCCCAGACUCUGUCCCAAGGCCCCCCAGCAUCUGGGUAUCCUCCUGGUGUGUCACUGUCCCUUUAGAGAGAGACAGACAGACAUGGGACAUCACACAGACACCAGCAGGAGAGAACAAGGGUUAAGUACACAGGUUUUGGGACUGAGGGCAACAUGAGUUCAAAUUCUGCCUUGGCUACUAGUUGUAUGACUGGGCAAGGGGACGAGUGAUUCCCGGGCUUCUGUUUCACCUGUGUGAUGGGCCCAGUGAUGCCCACCUUACAGUGUGUGGGGAAUGAAACAAAAACACAUGUUGUAACUAGCACAGCGUGCCUGGGCACACAGUUCCUCAUGACAUCAUUCCGGCAACUGGACAGAAAGGGUCCUCGCCUUCUGGUUUGAGGCAAAACCUUUAACAUAACCCUGUCCUUUAUGGUCCUGACCACCAGACGGUGAGUGGCCUGCACCUGUAGAGACCUGUGAGACGAGAGGCUCCAGAGCCAACAGCAUGCAAGGCCCGCAUGUGGGUAAGGAGAGCUGCAAGGCCGCAUGUGGGUAAGGAGAGCUGCAAGGCCCCAUGUGGGUAAGGAGAGCUGCAAGGCCCGCAUGUGCGUAAGGACAGCUGCAAGACCCCCAUGUGGGUAAGGAGAGCGGCAAGGCCCCAUGUGGGUAAGGAGAGCAGCAAGGCCCGCAU